AUGAGUCCCACCAAGGCCGCCAGGUGGAAGAACGCCACAGCCGCGUCCCAGAUUAGCGGCCACCGACGGACGCGACCAUCCACAUCAUCCUUGAUCUACAACAUUUGGCAAUCACAUCAUAAGCGACACUGGGUUCGCGGGGCGGGACACGGGAGGGGCGACGAGUACCUCGCUGCCGCUGCCGGCGGCGCGCAGGAAGAAGAGCACCAUCGCUGGCGCCAUGAGAAGCAGGGAGAGCAUACCAGAAUAAACCAAGAUCUCCCAAACUACCAAGGCCACGGUGCAGUUCCCGACGCAGGCCCGGAACACGACGAGGCAGAGGAAUGUUGCGGCGAAGACGACGCUGAUGGUGCCGGCGAAGAGAUGGAACAGGGCAUCAGCAGCGGCGCGGGCGGCCCUGCUGCGUGCCAGUGCCCCCACGGCCGUCCUCACCAGCGCCGGCGAGAUGGCCGCUGCGCGCGCAGCCUGCCUGGAGACCUCCUCUUCGAACGUCACGGCAGCCAUUUUGGAUGUGGAGUGGAGUGGACAGGUGACUCGGUUGUGUGA
rnacentral:rRNA from 1 species